rnacentral:rRNA from 1 species
UGUUAAAGUUUGAUCCUGGCUCAGGACGAACGCUGGCGGCGUGCUUAACACAUGCAAGUCGAACGAUGAUCUCCCAGCUUGCUGGGGGUGAUUAGUGGCGAACGGGUGAGUAAUACGUGAGUAACCUGCCCUUGACUCUGGGAUAAGCCUGGGAAACCGGGUCUAAUACUGGAUACGACCUCCUGUCGCAUGGUGGGGGGUGGAAAGGGUUCUACUGGUUUUGGAUGGGCUCACGGCCUAUCAGCUUGUUGGUGGGGUAAUGGCUCACCAAGGCGACGACGGGUAGCCGGCCUGAGAGGGUGACCGGCCACACUGGGACUGAGACACGGCCCAGACUCCUACGGGAGGCAGCAGUGGGGAAUAUUGCACAAUGGGCGCAAGCCUGAUGCAGCGACGCCGCGUGAGGGAUGACGGCCUUCGGGUUGUAAACCUCUUUCAGUAGGGAAGAAGCGAAAGUGACGGUACCUGCAGAAGAAGCGCCGGCUAACUACGUGCCAGCAGCCGCGGUAAUACGUAGGGCGCAAGCGUUGUCCGGAAUUAUUGGGCGUAAAGAGCUCGUAGGCGGUCUGUCGCGUCUGCUGUGAAAGCCCGGGGCUCAACCCCGGGUCUGCAGUGGGUACGGGCAGACUAGAGUGCAGUAGGGGAGACUGGAAUUCCUGGUGUAGCGGUGAAAUGCGCAGAUAUCAGGAGGAACACCGAUGGCGAAGGCAGGUCUCUGGGCUGUUACUGACGCUGAGGAGCGAAAGCAUGGGGAGCGAACAGGAUUAGAUACCCUGGUAGUCCAUGCCGUAAACGUUGGGCACUAGGUGUGGGGGACAUUCCACGUUCUCCGCGCCGUAGCUAACGCAUUAAGUGCCCCGCCUGGGGAGUACGGCCGCAAGGCUAAAACUCAAAGGAAUUGACGGGGGCCCGCACAAGCGGCGGAGCAUGCGGAUUAAUUCGAUGCAACGCGAAGAACCUUACCAAGGCUUGACAUUCACCGGACCGCCCCAGAGAUGGGGUUUCCCUUCGGGGCCGGUGGACAGGUGG